rnacentral:rRNA from 1 species
AUUCCAGCUCCAAUAGCGUAUAUUAAAGUUGUUGCAGUUAAAAAGCUCGUAGUUGAAUUUCUGGUCUUGGACGGCGGUCUGUCUCAAACGAGGUACGCACCAUCUGUCCGGGUCCAUCCUCGGGGAAAACACAUCUGUGAUUCAGUUCAUGGGUAUGGGAUCCUCGUCAUUUACUGUGAGCAAAAUAGGGUGUUCAAAGCAGGCUUAUGCCGUUGAAUACAUUAGCAUGGAAUAAUAAGAUAAGACCUUGGUCUAUUUUGUUGGUUUGCAUUCCAAGGUAAUGAUUAAUAGGGAUAGUUGGGGGCAUUCGUAUUUAACAGUCAGAGGCGAAAUUCUUGGAUUUGUUAAAGACGGACUACUGCGAAAGCAUUUGCCAAGGAUGUUUUCAUUG